UGGAAAGGCGUGCGAUACAGGGUGACAGCCCCGUACACAAAAAUGCACAUACUGUGAGCUCGAUGAGUAGGGCGGGACACGUGGUAUCCUGUCUGAAUAUGGGGGGACCAUCCUCCAAGGCUAAAUACUCCUGACUGACCGAUAGUGAACCAGUACCGUGAGGGAAAGGCGAAAAGAACCCCGGCGAGGGGAGUGAAAAAGAACCUGAAACCGUGUACGUACAAGCAGUGGGAGCCUCUUAAUGGGGUGACUGCGUACCUUUUGUAUAAUGGGUCAGCGACUUAUAUUCUGUAGCAAGGUUAACCGAAUAGGGGAGCCGAAGGGAAACCGAGUCUUAACUGGGCGUUAAGUUGCAGGGUAUAGACCCGAAACCCGGUGAUCUAGCCAUGGGCAGGUUGAAGGUUGGGUAACACUAACUGGAGGACCGAACCGACUAAUGUUGAAAAAUUAGCGGAUGACUUGUGGCUGGGGGUGAAAGGCCAAUCAA
rnacentral:rRNA from 1 species